rnacentral:tRNA from 1 species
UGCGGUAUAGAGAAGUGGUUAUCUCGCUGUCCUCAUAAGUCAGAAAUCGCUAGUUCAAAUCUAGCUACCGCAACCA